ensembl:lncRNA
ACAGAGCCUCAGGUUGGUGGGGAAGACUGACGCAUAAGUGGGUCUUUAUGACACGGACUGAGUGCAUCUAUGAAAGGGGAAAUGCUCCAGCCUGGAUGGCAGUAGUCAGGGAAGGCUUCCUGGAGGAGGUGGUCAGCCACCUAGGCAGGAGGAUGUUUUAGAUGGAGGGGACAGCCUGGGCAAAGGCCUGGAGGCCAGAGACACAGCUGGGUGGAUGUGCAGCAGAGGAAACUGAGCUCCAGAGAGGAGAAGAAACUUGCCCUCAAGGUCACACCCAGUCAGUCAGUGGCUGGGACAGAGCAUAAUAAAUCAAGUCCACCCAGCAGGUCUCCUGGGCAACCCACCCUGACGUCAUUGGCAGCUCUGGCAGCUGGCCCAGGAGCUGAAGCAGCUGGUGGCCAGAUCAUGUUUCCAGGGAUCCUGAGAAGUUUCCUGGAAAGCAGGCUCCUCAACUUGCUGUGUGAUGGACAUAUGACAACUGAGGGAAAUGUCCCUCCCAGGGCUCAAUUUCUCCAGCUGUAAAAUGGACUGCUAAAUGGGCCAACCUGCAGGCAGGCUAUCAGGCAGAAGCAAUGAGAGCUUAUUAAACUGCUUCGAAAGUAAAAGGCAAGGUGUGUAGUUUGAUGGAAUCAAAAUUUGGACCUCAGGUGAUACUGUGCCUGUUUCCCCA